rnacentral:rRNA from 1 species
GAUGAACGCUGGCUACAGGCUUAACACAUGCAAGUCGAGGGGAAACGACGGGGAAGCUUGCUUCCCCGGGCGUCGACCGGCGCACGGGUGAGUAACGCGUAUCCAACCUGCCUCUGACUGAGGGAUAACCCGUCGAAAGUCGGCCUAAUACCUCAUGGCAUCGUCUGCGGGCAUCCAACGACGAUUAAAGAUUUCAUCGGUCAGGGAUGGGGAUGCGUCUGAUUAGCUUGUUGGCGGGGUAACGGCCCACCAAGGCUACGAUCAGUAGGGGUUCUGAGAGGAAGGUCCACCACAUUGGAACUGAGACACGGUCCAAACUCCUACGGGAGGCAGCAGUGAGGAAUAUUGGUCAAUGGGCGGGAGCCUGAACCAGCCAAGUAGCGUGCAGGAUGACGGCCCUAUGGGUUGUAAACUGCUUUUAUGCGGGGAUAAAGUGAGGGACGUGUCCUUCAUUGCAGGUACCGCAUGAAUAAGGACCGGCUAAUUCCGUG